rnacentral:rRNA from 1 species
CCUACGGGAGGCAGCAGUGAGGAAUAUUGGUCAAUGGACGAGAGUCUGAACCAGCCAAGUAGCGUGAAGGAUUACUGCCCUAUGGGUUGUAAACCUCUUUUAUAAAGGAAUAAAACGAGGCACGUGUGCCUUUUUGCAUGUACUUUAUGAAUAAGGAUUGGCUAACUCCGUGCCAGCAGCCGCGGGAAUACGGAGGAUCUGAGCGUUAUCCGGAUUUUUUGGGUUUAAAGGGAGCGUAGAUGGGUUGUUAAGUCAGUCGUGAAAGUUUGCGGCUCAACCGUAAAAGUGCAAUUGAUACUGGCAGCCUUGAGUACAGUUGAGGUAAGCGGAAUGCGUGGUGUAGCGGUGAAAUGCUUAGAUAUCACGAAGAACCCCGAUUGCGAAGGCAGCUUACUAAACUUUGACUGACAUUGAUGCUCGAAAGUGCGGGUAUCAAACAGGAUUAGAUACCCCUGUAGUC